rnacentral:lncRNA from 1 species
GUUUUUGUGCAUUGUUUGUAUGUACGACUAUGAAAAAACACAAGAAAACUUCUGUAACUUACCACAUUCGCUGUAGAUAGGACAGAAGAGGAUGAAACCACAUAAUUUGAUGAUGCUGCACUCAAUGGAUCAGCUGACACCACCCAGACCAGUAAUCUGGCUCAACUAGUUUUGCCAUCCCACCUAGGAACAGAAGAGAGCAAGAAAACCUCAUUUCGACCAGCUAUGAUUUCAUCUUCAACCUGACCAAUCAGCACGCUCCACUUUCUGAGACAAUACCCACCAAAUUAUCCUUAAAAACUCCGAUCCCCAAAUGCUCAGGGAGACUUAUUUGAGUAAUAAUAAAACUCCUGUCUCCUGCAUGGCCACUUCUACGUGAAUUAAUCUUUCACCAUUGUGAUUACUAUCUUUACAAAUCGUAUCUAUCUAGGCAGCAGACAAGGAGAACCCAUUGGGCGGUUGCAGAUUGCCUCCUCAUUUUGUUGAUUGUUUCCUUUGCCAUGCAGAAACAUUUUAGUUUGAUGCAAUCACACUUGUUUAUUUAUUUUUUUGUUUUGUUUUUUGGUUUUUAGUUUUUUUUUUUUUUUUGCUUCAGUCUUUAAUUUUUUGUGAGUUGAUUUUGUGUAUGGUGUGAAGUAAAG